rnacentral:tRNA from 1 species
AGAUAGAUAGAUAGAUAGAUAGAUAAAAUUAAAAGAUCGCUUUUGUUGCUAUUUGGAGAAUGAAGGCAGAGGGCUCAUUCAGGGGGCUGAAGCAGUCUUUUAGGCAAUGCCUUGAGGUGGUGGUGGGGAGAGAAAACAUGAAGGGGUUACUCCUAGGUCUUUGUCUUAGGUAAGAUCAUGUAUUUGCUUAACGUGCGGAUAUAUUCAAAGAAAUGCGUUGCUAGGCAAUUUCAUUAUUCAGACAUCACAGAGUGUAGUGAUGUAAACCUAGAUGGUAGAGCCUUCUACACACCUAGGCUACACUAUACAGCCUAUUGUGCUCCUAGGCUGCAAACCUGUACAGCUACAGCAUGGUACUGUACUGAAUGCUGGAGGCAAUUGUACACAAUUGUAAGCAUUUGUGUACCUAAAAGAGACCGAGAUACCUAAAUACCAAAACUAGUGACGCUGUGAGCAGGAUUCGAACCUGCGCGGGGAGACCCCAUUGGAUUUCGAGUCCAACGCCUUAACCACUCGGCCAUCACAGCCGCGUGCGCUGUCGGCCCUGUGCAACUAUAGCUGCCUAUCAACACGCCCGCCUCCAGCCGGCUCCGCCCGGCUCCGCCCGGCUCCACCCGCGCCGCCUAGAGACGUCUGCGCUCGUGCGCCUCUGCUCGGUGGCGCAGACCAUGCCUUCCCUCCAGCAGACGUCAGCAGCCCCAUUGGAGCGGCAGCCUUCCUAUUCUCCCUCUCCUCCCUGAGCAUAGGAUGGAAACAAAACGGGUCCAAAUCCGA